rnacentral:rRNA from 1 species
UGGGGAAUAUUGGACAAUGGGCGAAAGCCUGAUCCAGCCAUGCCGCGUGUGUGAAGAAGGUCUUCGGAUUGUAAAGCACUUUAAGUUGGGAGGAAGGGCAGUAAGCGAAUACCUUGCUGUUUUGACGUUACCGACAGAAUAAGCACCGGCUAACUCUGUGCCAGCAGCCGCGGUAAUACAGAGGGUGCAAGCGUUAAUCGGAAUUACUGGGCGUAAAGCGCGCGUAGGUGGUUCGUUAAGUUGAAUGUGAAAGCCCCGGGCUCAACCUAGGAACUGCAUCCAUAACUGGCGAGCUAGAGUAGGGCAGCGGGGGGUGCAAUUUCCUGUAUAGCGGAGAAAUGCGUAGAUAUAGGAAGGAACACCAGUGGCGAAGGCGACCACCUGGGCUCAUACUGACACUGAGGUGCGAAAGCGUGGGGAGCAAACAGG